rnacentral:rRNA from 1 species
AUUGAACGCUGGCGGCAAGCCUAACACAUGCAAGUCGAACGCGUGGCGGACGGGUGAGUAAUGUCUGGGAAACUGCCUGAUGGAGGGGGAUAACUACUGGAAACGGUAGCUAAUACCGCAUACCAUCGGAUGUGCCCAGAUGGGAUUAGCUAGUCGGUGGGGUAAAGGCUCACCUAGGCGACGAUCCCUAGCUGGUCUGCAGGGAUGACCAGCCACACUGGAACUGAGACACGGUCCAGACUCCGACGUGAGGCUGCAGUGGGGAAUAUGGCACAAGGGGCGCAAGCCUGAUGCAGCCAUGCCGCGUGUAUGAAGAAGGCCUUCGGGUUGUAAAGUACUUUCAGCGGGGAGGCGUUACCCGCAGAAGAAGCACCGGCUAACUCCGUGCCAGCCGCCGCGGUAAUAC